GUGGNCUCGCGAUGCAUCUAGAUUCGCGGCCUAUCAGCUUGUUGGUGAGGUAACGGCUCACGGCGACGACGGGUAGCCGGCCUGAGAGGGCGACCGGCCACACUGGGACUGAGACACGGCCCAGACUCCGGGAGGCAGCGAAUAUUGCACAAUGGGCGAAAGCCUGAUGCAGCGACGCCGCGUGAGGGAUGACGGCCUUCGGGUUGUAAACCUCUUUCAGCAGGGAAGAAGCGAAAGUGCAGAAGAAGCGCCGGCUAACUACGUGCCAGCAGCCGCGGUAAUACGUAGGGCGCAAGCGUUGUCCGGAAUUAUUGGGCGUAAAGAGCUCGUCGGCUUGUCACGUCGGUUGUGAAAGCCCGGGGCUUAACCCCGGGUCUGCAGUUACGGGCAGGCUAGAGUUCGGUAGGGGAGCGGAAUUCCUGGUGUAGCGGAAAUGCGCAGAUAUCAGGAGGAACACCGGUGGCGAAGGCGGAGGCCGAUACUGACGCUGAGGGAAAGCGUGGGGAGCGAACAGGAUUAGAUACCCUGGUAGUCCACGCAAACGGUGGGCACUAUGGGCAACAUUCCACGUUGUCCGUGCCGCAGCUAACGCAUUAAGUGCCCCGCCUGGGGAGUACGGAA
rnacentral:rRNA from 1 species